rnacentral:rRNA from 1 species
GUCCAACGUUAAUCGGGGCAGGGUGAGUCGACCCCUAAGGCGAGGCCGAAAGGCGUAGUCGAUGGGAAACAGGUUAAUAUUCCUGUACUUGGUGUUACUGCGAAGGGGGGACGGAGAAGGCUAUGUUGGCCGGGCGACGGUUGUCCCGGUUUAAGCGUGUAGGCUGGUUUUCCAGGCAAAUCCGGAAAAUCAAGGCUGAGGCGUGAUGACGAGGCACUACGGUGCUGAAGCAACAAAUGCACUGCUUCCAGGAAAAGCCUCUAAGCAUCAGGUAACAUCAAAUCGUACCCCAAACCGACACAGGUGGUCAGGUAGAGAAUACCAAGGCGCUUGAGAGAACUCGGGUGAAGGAACUAGGCAAAAUGGUGCCGUAACUUCGGGAGAAGGCACGCUGAUAUGUAGGUGAGGUCCCUCGCGGAUGGAGCUGAAAUCAGUCGAAGAUACCAGCUGGCUGCAACUGUUUAUUAAAAACACAGCACUGUGCAAACACGAAAGUGGACGUAUACGGUGUGACGCCUCCCCGGUGCCGGAAGGUUAAUUGAUGGGGUUAGCGCAAGCGAAGCUCUUGAUCGAAGCCCCGGUAAACGGCGGCCGUAACAAUAACGGUCCUAAGGUAGCGAAAUUCCUUGUCGGGUAAGUUCCGACCUGCACGAAUGGCGUAAUGAUGGCCAGGCUGUCUCCACCCGAGACUCAGUGAAAUCGAACUCGCUGUGAAGAUGCAGUGUACCCGCGGCAAGACGGAAAGACCCCGUGAACCUUUACUAUAGCUUGACACUGAACAUUGAGCCUUGAUGUGUAGGAUAGGUGGGAGGCUUUGAAGUGCGGACGCCAGUCUGCAUGGAGCCGACCUUGAAAUACCACCCUUUAAUGUUUGAUGUUCUAACGUUGACCCGUAAUCCGGCUUGCGGACAGUGUCUGGUGGGUAGUUUGACUGGGGCGGUCUCCUCCUAAAGAGUAACGGAGGAGCACGAAGGUUGGCUAAUCCUGGUCGGACAUCAGGAGGUUAGUGCAAUGGCAUAAGCCAGCUUGACUGCGAGCGUGACGGCGCGAGCAGGUGCGAAAGCAGGUCAUAGUGAUCCGGUGGUUCUGAAUGGAAGGGCCAUCGCUCAACGGAUAAAAGGUACUCCGGGGAUAACAGGCUGAUACCGCCCAAGAGUUCAUAUCGACGGCGGUGUUUGGCACCUCGAUGUCGGCUCAUCACAUCCUGGGGCUGAAGUAGGUCCCAAGGGUAUGGCUGUUCGCCAUUUAAAGUGGUACGCGAGCUGGGUUUAGAACGUCGUGAGACAGUUCGGUCCCUAUCUGCCGUGGGCGCUGGAGAACUGAGGGGGGCUGCUCCUAGUACGAGAGGACCGGAGUGGACGCAUCACUGGUGUUCGGGUUGUCAUGCCAAUGGCACUGCCCGGUAGCUAAAUGCGGAAGAGAUAAGUGCUGAAAGCAUCUAAGCACGAAACUUGCCCCGAGAUGAGUUCUCCCUGACCCUUUAAGGGUCCUGAAGGAACGUUGAAGACGACGACGUUGAUAGGCCGGGUGUGUAAGCGCAGCGAUGCGUUGAGCUAACCGGUACUAGUGAACCGUGAGGCUUAACCUU